rnacentral:snoRNA from 1 species
GAGAAAUGGGGCCUAUUGCUAUUCUAUAUGUGGGUUUCUUGUAAUAUUCAGGACAUAAAUUUGCAUUGUUUUGGGUGAACCAGUCGACCUAUUUGGCUAUUCGUGAUAUAGUUUUUCAGUAAAUGAUGCACAUUU